CCUACGGGAUGCAGCAGUGGGGAAUAUUGGACAAUGGGCGGAAGCCUGAUCCAGCCAUGCCGCGUGUGUGAAGAAGGCCUUCGGGUUGUAAAGCACUUUCAGUGGGGAAGAAAGCCUUGGGGCUAAUACCCUCGAGGAAGGACAUCACCCACAGAAGAAGCACCGGCUAACUCCGUGCCAGCAGCCGCGGUAAUACGGAGGGUGCGAGCGUUAAUCGGAAUUACUGGGCGUAAAGCGCGCGUAGGCGGUCUGAUAAGCCGGUUGUGAAAGCCCCGGGCUCAACCUGGGAACGGCAUCCGGAACUGGCAGGCUAGAGUGCAGGAGAGGAAGGUAGAAUUCCCGGUGUAGCGGUGAAAUGCGUAGAGAUCGGGAGGAAUACCAGUGGCGAAGGCGGCCUUCUGGACUGACACUGACGCUGAGGUGCGAAAGCGUGGGUAGCAAACAGGAUUAGAUACCCCAGUAGUC
rnacentral:rRNA from 1 species